rnacentral:lncRNA from 1 species
CAGAAACAGAGGGCUCUAAGGACAAACUUGGAGCCAAGCACAGCCAGGGAGACAGCACUCUGAACUUGACUGCUGAGGAGAUCAAACUGCUGAGGAGGAUAAAGGAAGAGUAUGAGAGACGAGGAGGUUUCAUCAGAAUCUUCCCUACUCCAGAGACCUGGGAGCUCUAUGGUGGAUAUCUGGAGUCCAAGACAUCAAUGAACUACAUGUUGGCGAACAGACUUUUCCAUGGAAGGAAUCUGAAUGGGAAUGUGCAGCUGCAGGUGGAUGCUUUCCAUGGCUGUCACAUCCUCCGUUAUGAGAGGAAGUUGCUGUCUCUGGAGGCACGUAAAAAGAGACAGCGCCACCUGGCUCAGCGCUCCUCUGCUGGGAAGAAGAAGUCGGGGACGGAAUCCAAGGCCUCUCUCUCUGAAAGCAGUUCUCAGGAUGUUGAGGGAGAGCAGUGUGUCCAGGAGGAAAGAGAGGAGAAUCACGCUCUGGUAAUGGUGCAGGCACAACCGAUGGCCAUCCCACUGCGGUGUUUCCACAGUGAAGUCCUGUCCACCUCAACAGCAACCAAGUCUACUGCCAAGCCUAAAAUCAACCUGCUCCUCAUCCUCCAGCAGGGCUGGGAUCUCAGUAAAGUGCAGGCCCGGAUGGCCUUUUCCUCCUACCUGCAGCGGGUCCAACUAAGACUCUUGGCAGAGAGUAAGGCUAACAUCACCCCAGCCUGGCCAGAGAAAGACAACGACCAAAUGGUACAAUGAUAACCAUCUGUGUUGUUGCUGAAAUACCGUUUUUUGGGCACAUACCUUGUAGAAUUGUUUUAUGUUUAUAUGCACAUUGAUUUU